rnacentral:rRNA from 1 species
GACGAACGCUGGCGGCGUGCUUAACACAUGCAAGUCGAACGGAAAGGCCCUGCUUUUGUGGGGUGCUCGAGUGGCGAACGGGUGAGUAACACGUGAGUAACCUGCCCUUGACUUUGGGAUAACUUCAGGAAACUGGGGCUAAUACCGGAUAGGAGCUCCUGCUGCAUGGUGGGGGUUGGAAAGUUUCGGCGGUUGGGGAUGGACUCGCGGCUUAUCAGCUUGUUGGUGGGGUAGUGGCUUACCAAGGCUUUGACGGGUAGCCGGCCUGAGAGGGUGACCGGCCACAGUGGGAGUGAGAUACGGCCCAGACUCCUACGGGAGGCAAGAGUGGGGAAUAUUGCACAAUGGGCGGAAGCCUGAUGCAGCAACGCCGCGUGCGGGAUGACGGCCUUCGGGUUGUAAACCGCUUUCGCCUGUGACGAAGCGUGAGUGACGGUAAUGGGUAAAGAAGCACCGGCUAACUACGU